GUGAGUAACGCGUAGGAAUCUACCUAGUAGUGGGGGGCAACAUGUGGAAACGCAUGCUAAUACCGCAUACGCCCUACGGGGGAAAGGAGGGGAUCUUCGGACCUUUCGCUAUUAGAUGAGCCUGCGUAAGAUUAGCUAGUUGGUGGGGUAAAGGCCUACCAAGGCGACGAUCUUUAGCUGGUCUGAGAGGAUGACCAGUCACACUGGGACUGAGACACGGCCCAGACUCC
rnacentral:rRNA from 1 species